UGCUAUCAUUAUCUUCAAACGGUGUAAGUUUAAUGUAAAUCUGUGGACGUUGUGUUUUGUGUUACAAAAAGCACCCAAAUCAUUCAAAGGGGACACGAUGCCCUCGCAUUAUGCGUUUUUGGCUAUACAAACCAAUUGUCCUACCGGUUAAGAAAGUUGUUUUAAAAAGUAGCAUAUUGUUGAUCCACUUAAAAUGUUCCUUGAAAUUGCGUAGAUUUGGUUGUUUACUUCCGUUGAACUGACACAGGUCCGCCAUUUCAUGAUCAAGGCUCGAUUUAUCAAAGAGCUAAUCCCUCUUUAAUAUUGUAAUGUAAUUCCCCCCGGAAAUUGCGACUGUAAGAGCUUUAUAAAAACCGGGUUUAAAGAUGUUCGUAAUAAACUGAACAGGGCCAUUCUUCCUAUAGCAACCUGUUCGUGUCCAUCUGGAGACUGUGAGCAGUGAUUGCACGUGCUAACAUUUCUGUUACAGCUUUUCAAACCUUUGUGGAUGCUGUUUGUGAACCGUGUCUAUAUCAUCCAUUUAAUAUACAUCCACUAAGAACAAUGGCUCCCAAUGCGAAUGAAACGCCCAUCGAUGGUUCGUGUCCAGGGCAAGCCGUGUGCGUGUCCGACAAACCCACGGCAGCCCCGCAAAACCACCAGUGUGCUACCAAUGAUUCUACCGAGUACGACGACGACUACCAACCACUCUCAAGCAUCCCUUGCCCGAACUGCGGCGGGUCCGGGACGG